UACAGAGGGGGCAAGCGUUGUUCGGAUUUACUGGGCGUAAAGGGCGCGUAGGCGGCCACCGCAAGUCAAUUGUGAAAUCUCCGGGCUUAACUCGGAAAGGUCAACUGAUACUGCGGGGCUAGAGUGCGGAAGGGGCAACUGGAAUUCUCGGUGUAGCGGUGAAAUGCGUAGAUAUCGAGAGGAACACCUGCGGCGAAGGCGGGUUGCUGGGCUGAUACUGACGCUGAGGCGCGAAAGCUAGGGGAGCGAACGGG
rnacentral:rRNA from 1 species